rnacentral:sRNA from 1 species
GUCAGGUGUGGUAGUGCACCCCUGUAAUCCCAGCAACUUGGGAGACUGAGGCAAGAGGAUUGCAAGUUUGAGGUCAGCCCCAGCAACUUAGUAAGACCCUGUUUCAA